rnacentral:miRNA from 1 species
GACGUCGAUAUUCGACGUCAUAAACACGAUCAACUUUGGUGUUUAUGACGUCGAUAUUCGACGUCAUAAACACGGUCAACUUUGGUGUUUAUGGCGUCGAUAUUCGACGUCAUAAACACGAUAAACUUAGAUGUUUAUGAUGUCGAUAUUCGACGUCAUAAACACGAUCAACUUUGGGGUUUAUGACGUCGAUAUUCGACGUCAUAAACACGCUCAACUUUGGUGUUUAUGACGUCGAUAUUCGUUGUC